rnacentral:tRNA from 1 species
GCAGGAAUGGCGGAACGGUAUACGCGGCUGAUUUAGGAUCAGUAUUUUGGGAGUUCGUCCCGAUAGCUAUCGGGACCCUUCCUGUA